rnacentral:rRNA from 1 species
AAAAGGUUCCAUGUGAACAGCCGUUGCACAUGGGUCAGUCGAUCCUAAGGCCUAGGGUAGUUCCGCUCUGAGCGGCGGCGCGAGCCUGCUUCGUGCGGGUCAGCGCCCCCUGGUCGAAAGGGAAUCGGGUCAAUAUUCCCGAACCUGAAGGCGGAGCCCGCUGCCAUCUAGGCAGUCAGAGCUGCAAAGCUAUGGAGCUCGGAGACGCUGGCCGGAGCCCCGGGGAGAGUUGUCUUUUCUUUGUAAGGGGCGGGUUUCCCUGAAACCGACUGGAUCGGAGAUAGGGACCGCGGCCCCGUAGAGCGCCGCGUCUGGAGCGGCGUCCGGUGUUGCACUGGCCGGCCCUUGAAAAUCCGGGGGACGAGCGUGGACUCUCGCCUCAGGUCGUACCCAUAACCGCAGCAGGUCUCCAAGGUGAACAGCCUCUGGUCAAUAGAACAAUGUAGGUAAGGGAAGUCGGCAAGCCGGAUCCGUAACUUCGGGAAAAGGAUUGGCUCUGAGGACUGGGUCGGUCGGGCCGGGGCUGGAAGCAGGCACGGACCCUCAGCGUGACUGGGCGAGCCGGUCGAGGUUGGCUUCGGCCUUCUGAGACUGGCGAACCCGGACUUUGCAUUGGGUCCGGCUCGUGGACCGUCCUGGCUGCGCGGCGGCCUCGUGCCGUCGCCUCGGCCGGCGCCAAACAGCCGGCUCAGAACUGGUACGGACCAGGGGAAUCCGACUGUCUAAUUAAAACAGAGCAUUGCGAUGUGCCGCAACCCGGGCGUUGACGCAAUGUGAUUUCUGCCCAGUGCUUCUGAAUGUUCAAAGUGAAGAAAUUCCAAUCAAGC